UACCGGAGUAGAACGCAUUUGUUGGUCGCAUCUUCCAGAUUUAUAACCGACGUGUGUUUUUAUCAAGUCAUUAUGCUAUACCCUCAUGUACUAGCCGUGUUUGUUCUGGUCUGUAUGGUGGAUCCAACUUGUGGCAGAAGAGUCAGUGGAAGGAAGCCUGUUCUGUUAAGAGACAUGGGAGAAACAAGCGAUUUCAGCUUCAAGACACUUUUACCAGGGUUAUUUGCAUCCAAAAGGGAAAUAAUGGCGAUAAAGAAUCACGACAGCCCCACAUUUCGACUGAUGAGUCAAAAGGUGAUAUCAUCAUAUAGUGCGUCAGAGUUACCCGUAGGUUCAGAAAUUGCACCAUGUUGUGAAACGAAACAGGAGAUAAUUAUACCCCUGAAGGUAUCAGCAACAAACGGAAGUGUUUAUUCUAUUAAACACUUGGACAGUUGUUUCCAGUUACUUCAUAUAGGAACGUGUCAGGGUACUGGUAAAUGUCAGAAUGGAGAAGGUUCCUGUAUACAACGUUAUUUCUUACAAUGGUUGCUAGUAGAGACGGGACCGGAUUCGGUGAAUUUCUUACCGGUUGAAUAUCCCAGCUAUUGUGAAUGUAUUUAUAUUGGGAUACAACAAAAAUAAAUUCUUACCGGUUGAAUAUCCCAGCUAUUGCGAAUGUAUUUAUAUUGGGGACACAACAAAAAUAAAUUCUU